rnacentral:rRNA from 1 species
ACGCUCGACACCUACGGUAGGCAGCAGUCGGGAAUAUUGCGCAAUGGAGGAAACUCUGACGCAGUGACGCCGCGUAUAGGAAGAAGGUUUUCGGAUUGUAAACUAUUGUCGUUAGGGAAGAGAAAGGACAGUACCUAAGGAGGAAGCUCCGGCUAACUACGUGCCAGCAGCCGCGGUAAUCUGAGCGGGCUGGCAAGGC